UACGGAGGGUGCAAGCGUUGUUCGGAAUUACUGGGCGUAAAGCGCGCGUAGGCGGUACGGUAAGUCUGAUCUGUGAAAUGCCGGGGCUCAACCCCGUGCCUGCAGGAGAUACUGCCGUGCUAGAGACAGGUAGAGGCCAGUGGAAUUUCGGGUGUAGCGGUGGAAUGCGUAGAGAUCCGAAAGAACACCGGAGGCGAAGGCGGCUGGCUGGGCCUUGUCUGACGCUGAGGUGCGAAAGCGUGGGGAGCGAACAGGAUUAGAUACCCCAGUAGUCC
rnacentral:rRNA from 1 species